rnacentral:rRNA from 1 species
UACGAAGGGGACUAGCGUUGUUCGGAAUUACUGGGCGUAAAGCGCACGUAGGCGGCUUUGUAAGUCAGGGGUGAAAUCCCGGGGCUCAACCUCGGAACUGCCUUUGAUACUGCAAGUCUCGAGUCCGAUAGAGGUGGGUGGAAUUCCUAGUGUAGAGGUGAAAUUCGUAGAUAUUAGGAAGAACACCGGUGGCGAGGGCGGCCCACUGGAUCGGUACUGACGCUGAGGUGCGAAAGCGUGGGGAGCAAACAGG